AAGCUCUACAAGUCAAUAACCCUUACCAUAUGCAUUUAGGCUUCCUAUCAGUCAUUGCAAGUCGCAAGAUGAUGAGCAACACCUCAUCAACCAUAGCUGCAUUGGUUAGAAAAUUGCAUUCAAAUUUCAUGAAACAAGACUUGAAAAUACACCCAUGACCCUCACAAGAUUCAUGAAUGACAAUCAAUCACACGUAAUGGGGGUGGAUAGUGUCCAUGCUGAAGAAGAGAACUACAGUUCCUAACCAAAAAUGGCUAUUAAUCAUGGCGAGCAAAUGCCAGCCUGUUAGCGAUCAGCAAAUAGUUUGUAGUUUUCUCGAUGCAAAUCAUCCUGAAAUGCCAAGUACAGGAUACUUUAAAACUUAAAUUAACUAAAAAGUUGUGAAACCUUUUACACUGGAUACUUUAACUAAAUAGUCCAGGAGAGCAUCUUUUACCAAUCCAACAAUCACAAUGAAGCAUCUCUAAAUUUUCAAGACAACAAGGUCGCACAACAAUGCAACAUUGAACAUAAACCAACCAAAAAUCAUAAUAAAAUGUCUAAAACCAAACUGAGAUGAGCAAAGUGGAUUCAAAACCCUGAACAUUUGAAUCACAAAGACUUUUGAGUGGUUGAUCUUGCCUUCAUGCAUAGUUCAACCGGAAA
rnacentral:misc_RNA from 1 species